UGAGGGAGCUGAGGGGCGAAGUCGCCUCGGGCGGAGCGGGACGGGGCAAGCACCUGCCCUCGUGUAUCGCACCCCGGGUAUUGAGCUAUUCAUCAGCAAUUGUGUUCCACUUUCCCUCAACCUGAAGUCAUUGAAGGCAGUUCCUUUCUAGGCUAUAUGCAUCUGGACUCUCUUCUUAGGAAAAAAAGCCUCUUUUCACAGCUCACUGCUCGAGUUUUGGCAAAAGGUGAAAUUGCAGCCAUGAAAGACUUUUUGAUCUUUUUGUCCUCCAAUUUUGUUCCAACUACAUGCAUUCUGCUCUAGUACACUUGCCGAAUUUACUGAACAGCAAAUGCUGCACCAGCUAAUUCAAACCUGGAGAUAAAAUAAGAAGGCAACAGUUUUUGUGACUGUGAGAGAUAUGAAAUCAAACGGACAUUAAGGAGGUUUCAGCAACUCAGACUCAACCAACUGGAGCAGUGGCAGCAGCAAGCAGACAAACUCAAGACAAGGGACAAAGAUAAGCAGUGACCUGGUGGCGAUGGGUGAGCGCUGGUGAAGUUGGUUUUAUGCCUAUUUACAAUCAUCUGCUAUUGGAGAGAUUUGAACAAACAAGGAAACAAACUAUAAAGCAGAGACCAUGGUGAGGUGUUGAAACCCUCCCUGCAAAUGCCCCAUUUCUCUUCCUGGAGCUGUAGUGUUCCCGGUGUAGGUGCUGACAAAUGAUGGCAAAAGGCAGAGGAGCAAGGAAGCCUUGACUUCUGUACAGCAUUGCUCUGCUCUGCUUUAUCCUCACGCCAUUCCCAGUGAGGUCAAUCCGCCUUCUGAAGGUGUUGGCAGAAUUUUUUCCUCCCAUUUCUUGCAAUUUGAAUCUUCUCUGAAGACAAAAGGCAUAGCUUCUGGAGGAAGAAAUGAAAACACACGUUUGGAAAAUCCUUCACAAUAUUCAUGAAGUUUUUUUAAAAAGAAGACAAAGUGCUGAAAGACAAAGACAAAAGGGUGAGAACCUGCUGUGGACUUGAAGUGAACAGUACUCAGAUAUAUUCCUGGGAGGAAUGUCCAGGUGGAUGUUGAAGCGCUGCAUGAAAUAAAGGAUAUCUGCAAGUGAUUUGUUAUCUAGUAUGCAGGAUCAAGCUUUAUUCCACCAAGUGAUGUGUGGGUAAGGACACCUAGCAAGUGGAAAAAUUUAAGAAGAGGUUCCAGUGCAUUCUUUCAGAUACUUUUUGUCUAUUACCAAUUUCCCAGAAAUUGUUUCCUGUGUGUGCUUUUUUUUUAAAUGCAUAGAAAUACCAAUUCACUUUCAGAUCUCCAUUUCGGCAGUUCAGAGAGAGGAAGAAGGUGUACAAGGCUAAAAGAGUCAACUCUGAAUCUGCUAUUUAGAGCUUCUCAAGUGCCAAGCAAAACAAUUACAUGAUCUGAUAAGAGGACAUGAAUGAAGUAGGAAUGUUGGCACUCAGAAAUCCAGGCUAUCUGUCCCAUUAAGAUUAGAGGAAGUUGUCUUAACUGGGGGUAUCAGUGUGUGUCCUACUUACAGCAAAAUGGCAGAUGAAGAGUUUGGAGACUUCCAUCUAUAGCAAUAUAGUAAUAUUCCUACAGGAGAAACAUAAAGCAGCUUUGGAAGGCCAUUCUGUAUGCAGUUGGUGCAGGUUUCUAAAGAAGCUUAGUUUUCUGAUACAGUUAAUGUGAUAUAACCCUGCAGAGAGUGGGAAGGAAAUAAAUCCCUCCAGGUGUUAUCCAGGAGAGCUGUUCCUGGUGUCAUUACUGCUCCUGAUAUAGGAGCUGCCGUGACAGUAGAAGGGCAGGGUGGUGAAAAUCUAACAGAAAAAACACAGUUUGUCCAGAGAAAGAGUCUUUAGCAUUGAGAUUUUCAAGCCAUGAGGCUUUUCCAUUCUUCAUUGACCAGACUGGGCACAGGACACGUGCAGCACUUUGUCCAAAAAGCUCUCCUGAAACACAGAGGUGCCUUUUAUGUUAGUUCCAAUUAUGUUGGCAGUACAUGGCAUUUAUGAGCAACAAGAUUGCUGUAGGACAAGAAAUGUUUUUAAUGAAAGUAUUUAGUCCCUGAAGCAAUUGUUUUGUGAUUUCCUGGCAAGGACAUCUCUGCCCCAGAGCUUUCCACUGGAAGGCAGAAACAAUUCUGAUGGGAGUGGUAAAUACCCUGUUGUAAAAGACUUGACUUUUUCAGUUUUUAGGCAUCCUGUGCUUUCAAAGUAAGCAAUGUGUCUUUAAUAAUGCUGUGACACACAGGAGAACUGGGAACAAAAUGAUCUUUAUUUUCUGGCUGUAGUAAUGUGACAUUCUUCUGGCUGUGGUUACAGCCAGUUACACUUUAUCCAGUGGCUCUUACAGUUAUUGUUAUAAAGCUUUAUCCUUGCUAUCAUCAGGAUAGUACUGAAUUAAUUUUUUCCUAUUCUCACAGUGUUGCAGCCAACAAGGCCCCUAUCAUUCUGCCAGACACACUGGAAUUGUAUUGUGUGGUUUCAAGCAGAUUCUGUGAGAGCUUUUAGCCCACACAGAAAAUUUUGCUUAGAUUUAUUCCAGUAUAAACCAAUACCACAGUUCAAAAAAACAGAGUAUGGAGUUGCAAGUUUGCAAACUGAGCACAAUGUACAUGUGUUUACAAAGUAUAUUUUUUAAAAAAUCCUAUCAUUUUACUGAGGCUGUAUUUACAGGCCACCAGGCACUUUCCUCUCUCCUGAGAGUUUGGAGAUAGUCUUCAAAUGAUCCUUAGAUUUACAAGGCAUAAAAAUAAAUUUGGAGCGAAUACAGGCAGAUUCCUGGCAGGUUUUUCUUUCACUCUGCCCUACGUAACCAUGAGUGCAAACCAGGGCUAAUGUUUUUGGCUGUGAAAAAGAGAGCUUAUGAAAACAGCACCACAAUGUUUUGUUCAGGGUGUGUGGCCAUAGUCAAGUUAAAAGAAUAGCACCAGUAUUAUUACAAUAAGUUGUCUAUACAAAAAAUUUGCUGAAGUAAAAUGGUAAUUUUUUAAGAAUUAACAUUUGCAAUGGGACUGGUCUUUAUGUUCAAAAAUAAUUAUUGCACUAGAUUAGAAAAUGAAGGAUCAACCACUUUUAAGGAUUUCUGAAUGUUACAGUCAAACUCCCAUCUCUGUUUGUGUAUUACCUUUUUCUAACAGAAGAGAGCAAGACAGGAUCUCUCCUUUUGCAGUUCCAGGUAACAUCAGAGCAGCUUGCUGAAGACCAAGGCAUUUUCCAGCCUGCAGAUGUCCAAACGUGUCCACCAGGAUCCGGCAUGCACAUCCUUGCAGCCACAUGCCAUAACAAUCCUCUUCCUCAGGACUCUGCUGCCAUAAGGUGUGCCAAGCAAUGCCCAACUUGCACCCUUACUGAAAACAGCAAGAAAAUGACUGGGAAGGGACAAGUCUAUAGUGCUCCAGAGGAAUAGCAGCAGCUCAUGUUGGCCUUCUUCAAGUGUUGGCAUUUUAACUAAAGAAUUUGUUCUUCCACAAUUAACCCAAUCCUAUAAACAACCAGUACUCAAAUCUGGUUGAUAACUCUUAUUCUACAACACAGGAGAAUUCAGGAACACAGGAAAAAAGGCAAACUGGGUAAAAAGGUUAACCAUAAUGGUACUGUUCAGGGAGAAUGAAUAACUGAAACAUGGCCCUAAAAAUCCUAUGCUCAUUAGUAGUGAAAAACAGAGUUUAUUACCUAUCACAAUGAAAUUCUACACCAAGAACCUCUGUUUCCUGAUGUGGCAAUUGAUUACAGUGGAAUAAAAGUUGCACAUACAUCUAAA